CCCAUACCCAUACCUCAGUUGUUCUCCUCAACCCCCAAUCUUGUCUUCAAGUCCCACAACCUCCACUUUUCGAGCACUACAAAAAAAAAACUCCAACGGCUACGGCAGUCUGCAACGGCAUGGAUUUGCCAUCGCCAAUAGUCCCAUUUUGGCGACUGCAAUUGUCGGCGUCGCACUAAUAGGAAUGGGAUGCGACGGCAUGGCGUGUCUGUGGCGUGUUUUUAAUAUCAAUAGCGACGGAGAAUCAAAUGAGGUGGCUAAUAAACCUUGAAAUGCAUUUUGAAAAAAUAGAAAAACCAUUUGCUUUGGGAAAAGAAGCAAAACAGAUCUCUCUCCUCCCCCCCAAGAUUUACUUUCUAUCCUUCUCUUCAUCUCGUCGACAACUAACCGAUUAUGUGGAGAAUCUCUCAUCACCUCCUUGAUGAUUGUAGCUUCUCUCGGAACAAUGCUCCCUCACUUUCAGAAAUGAACUUGGGAGUACUGGGACCAGUUGUUCUACAAUGAUUGCAUCAAGGAAGCAGAGACUUAUCAGGGCAGAAAUGGUCAUAUAAGGUUGGGCUAAAAUGAGAAGCCAUGAAUCUCGGUUCUUCAACUUCCACCUCUAUCUGAACUGAAUUGGAGGAGGGUGUUUAUAGGGACACAAAAUCAACAGCCAUUGACUUGGUAUAAGUGAUACUUGAACCCUCCUGCCAAUUCUGAUGCACCUGAAGAAGAUGAGCCUUUGGCUUUGGACAUGGGGAGCAUGCAUGGGGAAGGGUCAAGUAUGAUUCAAUGGGGAGAGCAUUGGAAGAUACUGGACUAUUCAUGCAAUGGGUUUCGAUUCCGAGGCCAGAUACUGAGCUCAUUUUUUAUUUGGUGGGUGAUGUGGUGAAGGAUGAGGAGGGUUUCAGAGAGGGUUUGUGGGCAGAUUUGGGGAUUGGGAGUGGGACUAUUGCUAUUGGGAUUGGGAGGGUUUUGGGGACUGGUGUCAGAGUCAUUGCAACUGAUUUGAGUCUCACUGCGAUUCGGUUGCGGGUUUUAAUGUGGAGAGGGAGGUAUGGUUUACAGGUUAGUGUUUGGCAUUGUGCUUGUAGCUUAAAAGUGACAUUAAAGUAGUUGUGUAGACAUGCUAUGUUGUGUUUUGAAUUUAUGUUGAGAUAGAUAGAGAAUGCUAUAGUUAUAGCUUUGUAAUGGAUUGGAUUAGUUUUGGAGAAUGAGAAUGUCCACUAAUAAUAUGAGUUGUUAAAUGAAAAUGCAAGAAAAAGAGUAGAGCUUUAUCACCUUGAUAUUCACUAUUUGACAAUUGUUGGAUUAAGUUGGGCAAGAAUUUGAGUCCAUAACAUUGAUGGUUUUGGAAAUUUAAAUGGGGUUUUGGUAUAAUACUUGCAGAGACUAAGGUAGAGUGUUUGAAAAAAUAUGACGAGAGGAGUAGUGCCCGAGAGUCUUCAAGAGCAUGCAAGUACCUAAAUUUGGACAUUAUUGAGAAUGUAUUGUUUUGUUGUUGUGUUAUUAUAUACCAUUUUAAUUCUUGCUGCCUUAUCUAAAAUUAUUGCAGGCUGGCCCAUGCAUUACAACUGACCCCUUGCUUGUGUUAGUAUACCUUUGGGUUGAGCAUGAAUUAAACGCAAUCAAUUUUUAAAGUUUCUAUAAGCAUGUAUUUGAGCCCUGGAGAGGCAGUAAUUGUUGCUCAGGAAGUUAUCAAUACAAUCGCUACGAAGGGAUAUGAUCUGGGACAAGAUGCAUUAAUCAAGGCCAAAAGCUUCUGAUGAGUCCUACCAAGUAUCAGCUACUACAACAACCAAGGUUUACAGUUACUUCAUAAAACUAUAUUUUUCUCUUUACAGAGGGGAGAGUUAUCAAGGGGACACCUCCAUCGAUAUGAGCAAGCACCAUAUGCCCAGAAUGUAGUUGAGAUAGAGAAAAAAAAAGCUUUCCAAUCACCAAGUUUGUAUUUCAAUGUAUAUUUUGCAUAUUACACAUGAGCUUUUUGUAUUUUAGAAUUUUGAACAUUGCUCAGAUGUAUGACCUUCGUUUCUUUAAAGCUUAAUUAUCUUGUAAAAUUUCGUAUAACCUUCAUUUCUUUUGUAACAUUCAUGAAUGUAUCAUUCCCUUUUGUAUAAGUUGCAUUCAUUUUUGUAUA